AGAAUCAACGCUGGCGGCGUGCCUAACACAUGCAAGUCGCACGAGAAAGGGGAGCAAUCCCUGAGUAAAGUGGCGCACGGGUGAGUAACACGUGAAUGAUCUACCUCCGAGUGGGGAAUAACUGAGAGAAAUCUUAGCUAAUACCGCAUAACACUUACGAGUCAAAGCAGCAAUGCGCUUGGAGAGGAGUUCGCGGCCGAUUAGCUAGUUGGCGGGGUAAUGGCCCACCAAGGCGAAGAUCGGUA
rnacentral:rRNA from 1 species